AGAGUUUGAUCCUGGCUCAGGAUGAACGCUAGCGACAGGCUUAACACAUGCAAGUCGAGGGGCAGCAUUGGCUUAGCUUGCUAAGUCAGAUGGCGACCGGCGCACGGGUGAGUAACGCGUAUGCAACCUGCCCAUCAGAGGGGGAUAACCCGGCGAAAGUCGGACUAAUACCCCAUGAAACAGGGGUCCCGCAUGGGAAUAUUUGUUAAAGAUUCAUCGCUGAUGGAUGGGCAUGCGUUCUAUUAGGCAGUUGGCGGGGUAACGGCCCACCAAACCGACGAUAGAUAGGGGUUCUGAGAGGAAGGUCCCCCACAUUGGUACUGAGACACGGACCAAACUCCUACGGGAGGCAGCAGUGAGGAAUAUUGGUCAAUGGGCGAGAGCCUGAACCAGCCAAGUCGCGUGAAGGAAGAAGGAUCUAUGGUUUGUAAACUUCUUUUAUAGGGGAAUAAAGUGUGGGACUUGUCCCGUUUUGCAUGUACCCUAUGAAUAAGCAUCGGCUAACUCCGUGCCAGCAGCCGCGGUAAUACGGAGGAUGCGAGCGUUAUCCGGAUUUAUUGGGUUUAAAGGGUGCGUAGGUUGCCGGUUAAGUCAGCGGUGAAAGUCUGUGGCUCAACCAUAGAAUUGCCGUUGAAACUGUCCGGCUUGAGUACGAUUGAGGUAGGCGGAAUGCGUGGUGUAGCGGUGAAAUGCAUAGAUAUCACGCAGAACCCCGAUUGCGAAGGCAGCUUACCAAGCCGUGACUGACACUGAUGCACGAAAGCGUGGGGAUCAAACAGGAUUAGAUACCCUGGUAGUCCACGCAGUAAACGAUGAUCACUAGCUGUUUGCGAUACACUGUAAGCGGCACAGCGAAAGCGUUAAGUGAUCCACCUGGGGAGUACGCCGGCAACGGUGAAACUCAAAGGAAUUGACGGGGGCCCGCACAAGCGGAGGAACAUGUGGUUUAAUUCGAUGAUACGCGAGGAACCUUACCCGGGUUUGAACGUGGUUGGACCGGUGUGGAAACACGCCCUCUAGCGAUAGCCGACCACGAGGUGCUGCAUGGUUGUCGUCAGCUCGUGCCGUGAGGUGUCGGCUUAAGUGCCAUAACGAGCGCAACCCUCGCCGCCAGUUGCUAACAGGUAACGCUGAGGACUCUGGCGGGACUGCCAGCGUAAGCUGUGAGGAAGGCGGGGAUGACGUCAAAUCAGCACGGCCCUUACAUCCGGGGCGACACACGUGUUACAAUGGCGUGGACAAAGGGAAGCCACCUGGCGACAGGGAGCGAAUCCCCAAACCACGUCUCAGUUCGGAUCGGAGUCUGCAACCCGACUCCGUGAAGCUGGAUUCGCUAGUAAUCGCGCAUCAGCCAUGGCGCGGUGAAUACGUUCCCGGGCCUUGUACACACCGCCCGUCAAGCCAUGGGAGCCGGGGGUACCUGAAGUCCGUAACCGCGAGGAUCGGCCUAGGGUAAAACUGGUGACUGGGGCUAAGUCGUAACAAGGUAGCCGUACCGGAAGGUGCGGCUGGAACACCUCCUUU
rnacentral:rRNA from 1 species